rnacentral:antisense_RNA from 1 species
UUUCUGGAACUGCUAUUUGUAUAUUGCAUGAUAUUUUAUCAGGAAAAAAAAUAAAACAGAUCUAAUUUCAUGAAAAUGCUGUUGCCAUAAUGCUCAGGAGAACAGGGGGAAGAGAGAGAUUCAAGUCUUCCUAAUGUCUACCUUAUAUGCAGAGCCUUGGAAAGAUGGGCAAAUGCUCUGUGACAAGCCACCAGGGUAGACUGGUACUGAAAAGACCCUACUACACACAGGGGCUCUGUCCCUGGCUGGAAAGUUACAAGUCAGCCUACCUCUCUGUGAUCUGGUUUCCACACCUACUACUCCUUAUCCCAUGAGGAGCUUCUGGAAACUAAAAAAGGUACGUAAUCAAAACCAAAAGAAGACAUUGGUUCAAGGAUCCUCAAGAGCUCAGCAUCAUGUUUCUGUUGUUUCUUUUUGAAUAGACAAAAUUCUCAGAGUGUUCAGUAGCUACACACACACACACACACACAAACACACACACCCCACACACAAAAGUAGCAUCUCCACAAUGUUGCAUGCAUCAGGAAAGCAAAUGUUUUUACCGCAGGCUGGGCUAUGCCUCAUCCUCUUAAACUAGCAUCUUGAGGUCUUUGCAGAAGCCAUUUUAUAGAUGCCUACACUCAUCCCAUUACUUGCAUUCUCAUCCUGAGGGUAUUUUAAGGAGUCAAAAUAAAGUUUACUUAGGCGUGUGUGAGAGACAGAAUGAUAGACCAAAAGAGAAGGCUAGGGCUUCAUAAUAUUUAGAUAAUGAUGAAACUGAAAUGGCUGAUGCAGAGUGCAGUAAUUAUAUAGGAUACUUUAUUAUUUGGGUUCACCUUUGCUCAGUAGUGAAUUAUAAGCACUCUACUAGGUGAGAGGUUUGGCUUCCAAAAUGAACAGCUGGCGCAGGAUGGAACUCUCAGACCAUGUCACAUGGUAAAUAAAAUAAUAAUACAUAGAAACUUUAGGAUCUCCUAAUUGGAAGCUUCCUUUAGACAACGAAAGAUGCCAGGCUAUCUGCUGCCCCCUAACUGGUACCAUGAAGAACAGCACAUAACUUUUUAAGAAGCAAAGUCUGAUUCAGGUACAAUUAGUUAGUGGCUGAGUCAACCUCCUAAGUUAUAGUUGUGAAUUUGGCCAUUUCCAUGAACCUGUUUGUUGCGAUUAAGGCAAAGUCAUCGGGUAGAGUCUGUUUUGUUUCUGUCUUUUCCUGAUGGAGAGGCACUCCUGAUUUGCAGCAGCUGCCCAGGUAGAAGAGUGUUGACCAAAGGACACAUCACCAACACAGACUGUUAAUCAUGUGACUAGAGAAAACUCUCAUGGUGGCAUUCAAAUUUCCAUAUCCUUCUUCUAUGGAAAUUUCUGAGAGACCCAGAAAAGAAGCAUAACCACGAGGGAAAGUGAUUCCUGCAGACCUGAACAUUCCAGACUUACCAGGUGAUCCAGCUGUCUGUCAGCGAGAAGAGGCUGAGGCGCCCCCUUCUGGUGCAUCUGAAUAGUAAGAAACCCUGUGUAGAAAGAAACCCUGUAGCAAUUGGGCACCUUCUCUGUGAUCUGUCCGCUUCCAAUACCAAAAUUGUUGCUUUUUAAAUGAUAUCCAUCGUAAGCUUUAAAAAGACGCAUAUUAUUUGUAUAAAAUGUGGAAGACGCAGAACAAAAGAUGUAAAUCACAUGUAAUCAUCCCUUCCAGAAAUAAUCAUUAUUAAAAUUUCUGUGUAUGUGUUAAAAAAAAUUGCAAUCCGACUGUAAUAUAAUCCUGUAUACUGAUAUUUUUCACCUAUCACUGUAUGUUGAGCAUUUUCAAUAGUCAAAUUAUUUCUUGAAAAUAUUAAUGACUGGGGAGUAACCUUUCAAAUAGGUGUGUCUUUAUUUUUAAACCAGUCCACAAUUAUUGUAUAUUGAAGUCAUUUCCCAAAUUUUGUAAGUAUAAGUAUUGCAUCCAUCCUUAUAUGUAUUUAAAUGCAUCUCUUAUUAUUUCCUUGAGAUAAGUUCCUAGAAGUGGAAUCACUGGAUUUAAAAAUGUGGACAUAUUUAUGCCAGACGCGGUGGGUCAUGCCUGUAAUCCCAGCACUUUGGGAGACCGAAGCAGGUGGAUCACUUGAGGUCAGGAGUUCGAGACCAGCCUGGCCAACAUAGUGAAACCCCAUCUCUACUAAAAUUACAAAAAUUAGCCAGGUGUGGUGGUGCACGCCUGUAAUCCCAGCUACUCAGGAGGCUGAGGCAUAAGAAUCACUUGAACUCAGGAGGCGGAGGUUGCAGUGAGCCGAGAUGGCACCACUGCGCUCCAGUCUGGGCGACAGAGUAAGACUUCAUCUCAAAAAUAAAUAAAU